rnacentral:rRNA from 17 species
UCUGGUAGUGAUGCGCUUAGGGGACACACCCGUUCCCAUCCCGAACACGACGGUUAAGACCUAAGCGGCCGAUGGUACUGCACUGGAGACGGUGUGGGAGAGCAGGUGGCUGCCAGAU